UUUAAUACAACUUAGUUGAUGCUAGUUGUGGUUAUUUAUCCUAACGAAAACUACGUGCAUUACGGGGUCUUCCCAAGCAAUGACUUUUGACGAGAAUCGAUCAACGAACGCUGCCUGUAGAAACAAAGACUGCUCUGAUAUGGGCCAAACCAUCAGCAAGCAUUUUACCUGUUUACCUCUGGUUCGCUAUCGUGAUUGGACCUGAGAGAUCGAGGAGGUCGUCAGUAUUAGCAGUUGCAGAGUCAGUUCAGUAUCUGCUAGAGGAGCAGAGUUUUGCAGGUCAGAGUUAGCUGUGGGAUGUCAGAGACAGCAAGAGUAAAGAAUGAAGUCAUAGCACAGGUUGUGAUUGUGUAAUAGAAUCGUGGACAUGAUGUCAAUUAAAAAGAUAUAUGUAAAAUGAUGUAAUAGAUGGUAAGUUAGUGUGUUUAUGGUUUAGAAUGUGCUUUGCCUGGUGUAUGC